UUGUUUUUCACAAUUAUUGCAAUUUUUGAUUGUCGCCAGCUCAACUGCUACAAAUUUCGACCGCUGAAAGAUCGUCACGACAGCGUUUUGUUUCAGUGUGUGAAUUUAUUGUUACUCUGUUGAACUGUAGGCGAUUUUCUAGUCCUCUCAAUGUAUAAUUUCAAACAUUUUAUUCAAUAUUUUGUUAAGUUAUAGUGUUUUGUAAAAGGUAGUGUAUUUAUAGCGUGUUGAGGCCCGGUCACACUACACAACGAUAACAAUACGAUAAAUUGUAAACACGCGAUAAUUGGCAAAAAAAUUGUGUUAGUGUCCACACAACAACGAAAAUGAUAAAAUUAUCGUUAAAAAAAAGUUAAACUUCACUGCGUUUUACCACGCAUGAGUUUGUUCAUAUAAUAAGUUCAGCUCAUUUUUCAUCAUUUUCAUUCAUGUUGAGUGAUUUUACUACAGUUGAAGUAAAGCUGCUCCUGUUUUACCAACUAAAGCAACUAGGCCAUUUGGGUGAGAAGUUAGCACAGCACGUCUAAUCCAUUCGCUAGACCCCAAACAUAAACUGUUUGUUAGUUCUCCAGUUUCUGAGAAACUCAGCCAACCACAUCCUGAUGACUGACACGUUUUAACUAGAAUAUUAUUUGUGACGUGAUUUAUUGCAACCGAAACAAUAAAUCCACGUUCUUCGGGUAUCUUAAUUUUGCGUUCUAACUGCCCGUUCUCUGUGUAGAUAUAAACGGUAUAGUAAUCUGCGGCAAUUAUUUUUGUUCCAUUAAAAUCUGAGAACAAUAUGCUCGAAUUCAUCCAAACGAUUGUGAUAGAAAAUUCGCUGAGAGAAAGACUUUUGUCAACUUUAGAGGAACUCAGCUCCACACAUACGUUACCAAUAUACAGGAUUUUCUCCUCGCAAUUUAAAAUAGCAAUCUUCCCGUCCUUGUUUAUUGCUAUGCCCGCUCUUUUUCUAGAGCUUUGAUGAAAAGGUAACACAGAC